CCGGAUAGUUACAUUCUAUUCAACUCACCUUCCUGGUCCAAAUUAUCACUGCCAUCAGGUACAACUGUCUCUUUCAGGGCUCAAAACUUGCCAGGCUUCCCCCUCCAGAGAGUGCGAUUGAAUUGCUUGUAAUCAACUGUAAGUUUUGAAAAUGAACUGUUUUUGGUUUCCGUUACACGCUUACACUCACAAACACGCUAUUUUGUUAGGUUUCUUACUUUCAGUGGCACUAUGAUGCUCUUAUGACUUGUAUUAACAUGCAGUUUCUCGAGGGGUUAAUUAUGGCUGUGGUGAUUUGAUAUUUUC
rnacentral:misc_RNA from 1 species